UCUUGUGUACCGGUCCUUGUGUUUUGUUUGUUAUCGAUUCUGAUGGGUAGCGCCUUAGUUACCGUCAUAUUAGCAGCCGGCCAGCGAAACUUCACUGCAAAUAGAAUCUCUACCCGAGAAGCUUCACUGCACAUUAUAAAUUACAUUUAAAGAUGGGGAACGCAUGCUGCAGCGGUAAAGGGAAUGGGGGAGUCAUGAAAGAAGUGAACAAAUUCUGUAAGUGUGGAGGACCCCGCCCACAUUCCGGACAUAGUCGAAAAGGCUCCGGACAUAGCCGAAAAGGCUCCGGAAAACACCGAGGAAAGGGGCAUGGCCGUAAGCGCAGAGGAUCAGGAUCUUCCAAAGGAUCGCAUUGACCCCAGAAGACCUAGAUCUAUGUUGUGUAAAUAUCACCAUGGUUGAUUGUUAACCGCACUGACUUUAACAAAUACUGAUAUACUCCUAACAUUUCUUGAGAUUUUAUGUUAUGAAAUAAGUCGAAGAUGCUUCUCUAGAUAUUUUUUUUUAACUUUGACGAUUAAAAACCCCCCAUAAAAGCUUGCAACCCAAGUGCCAGUAUGUGAUAAGUGACAUUAUUCCUCUGACAUUCUUCUAUGAUUCUAUAUAUAUAUAUAGCAUUGGAAUGUUUGUACUUGUGUACCUAUGUGAUCAUUAAUGAUUACACGUACACGUACGUCCAGUAUUAUAAACACAAUUUAGUGCCAUGAAAAAGCAUUUUCUAAAGUGUAGUUAUUUUUAUAUGAAUUAAAUAUUUUGAUUGAUUA